AUGACUUGCCUUUCUCAGCUUCUGGGGAUGCUUAUGCUAUAGAGUCUUAGAGACACUGGUGAUGACACAGGCUGCAUUCUCCAUACCUGUCACUUCUACAGUGUCAGCUUCCAUCUCCUUCAGGUCUUGUAAAGAUCUGUUACACAGUGAUGCCAAUCCUUAUUUGCAAUGG